rnacentral:rRNA from 1 species
GACGUAGGGUGCGAGCGUUGUCCGGAUUUAUUGGGCGUAAAGAGCUCGUAGGCGGCUCGUCGCGUCAGCUGUGAAAACCCGCAGCUUAACUGUGGGCUUGCAGCUGAUACGGGCGGGCUAGAGUUCGGUAGGGGAGACUGGAAUUCCUGGUGUAGCGGUGAAAUGCGCAGAUAUCAGGAGGAACACCAAUUGCGAAGGCAGCUCGCUGGAACGUUACUGACGCUGAGACGCGAAAGCGUGGGGAGCAAACAGG